rnacentral:rRNA from 1 species
GGCGAACGGGUGAGUAAUGCAUGGGUAACGUACCUCGAGCACAGGGAUAGCAGCGGGCUUCGGCCCUUUAGCGAAAGUGCUGGUAAUACCUGAUGACAUCCACGGGUUUCAUGAUCUGUGGCUCAAAGAAGGGGACCCUUCGGGGCCUUUCGGCUUGGGAUCGGCCCAUGUCCUAUCAGCUUGUUGGUGAGGUAACGGCCCACCAAGGCUAUGACGGGUACCGGGACUGAGAGGUUGGCCCGGCGCAUUGGGACUGAGACACUGCCCAGACUCCUACGGGAGGCUGCAGCAACGAAUAUUCCGCAAUGGACGAAAGUCUGACGGAGCGACGCCGCGUGCAGGAAUAAGCCCUUCGGGGUGUAAACUGCUGUCAGGGAUCACCAAGCAAAGGGGACUAAUAAUUCUCUGCGUUGAGGAAUCCCGGAGGAAGCCACGGCUAACUUCGUGCCAGCAGCCGCGGUAAUACGAAGGUGGCAAGCGUUGUUCGGAAUCACUGGGCUUAAAGAGCACGUAGGCGGCCUGUCAAGCGUCUUGUGAAAUCCCUCGGCUCAACCGAGGAAUGGCUGGGCGAACUGGCAGGCUUGAGGCAGGUAGGGGUACACGGAACUCUUGGUGGAGCGGUGGAAUGCGUAGAUAUCAAGAGGAACGCCGGUGGCGAAGGCGGUGUACUGGGCCUGUCCUGACGCUCAGGUGCGAAAGCCAGGGGAGCAAACGGGAUUAGAUACCCCGGUAGUCCUGGCCCUAAACGAUGUCCACUAGGUCGAAGGUUCUCUGACGGAGUUUCGGCCGAACAAAGCGUUAAGUGGACCGCCUGGGGAGUACGGUCGCAAGG